GACGUCACUGAUGCUUCGUGUGUUGUAGCAAUGUCAAUCAUGAUUAAUAGCCUUCACUUCAUUUGCUUGAUUUUUUUUCACAUUGCUUGAUGUGUGCGUA
rnacentral:lncRNA from 1 species